GUAGGUGAACCUGCGGAAGGAUCAUUACUGAGACUGGGUGCUUCGGCGCCCGACCUCCAACCCCCUGUCUACCUUACCACUGUUGCCUCGGCGUCUCUGCCCACCUCCCCUCGCGGGUGGUGGGGGGUGCGCGCCGGCGGCCAAAAACAAAAACCCUUUUUUAAAUCAAGCAAUCUGAGAAAUUAUUUUAAUAACUUCAAAACUUUCAACAACGGAUCUCUUGGUUCUG
rnacentral:misc_RNA from 1 species